GUUUCUGCCCUGCAAUAUAUGACCGACACAUUACUUGGCAACAGGAAAAUUUCUCCACUAGAAUAUCCCUUGCUUCCUCUGCAAAUUCCUCCUCGUCGUCGUCUUCGUCUUCUUCUGAUAUACAAACUAUGCUCUUGGCCAUGGAGUUUUUGCUUGAUUUCAUUUUAACUGCUGCUUUUUCUUUUCUCUGCUCUUUCUUUCUCUCUAAGCUCCUCUCCGGAGCAACACCUGAUGAUCAUGGACAUGAUUUUAAAAGGAGAAUUGUCCAUGUGCAUGACCCUGACCAUGACCUUAGUUUCCUAGCGGAGUCUAAUGAUUUCGCUUGGGAGAAGGAAAGGAAACUUGGGCUUGUUUCGGAAAUUCUCGGAGUUGAUGAAUUAAGCGAAUCAGUAGAGAAUAAACUUGCUCAACGAGAAUUUUCCUGCAAAUGUGUCGGGUCGUGUAACUCACUUGAAGAUGCAAAAACUUCUAAUAAUCAACUCCCCAAAGAAGAAAUUGAGAUUAUUGAUUAUUUAACAGAGGAAGGUAGUGAAGAUGGUGCUGCAUGCAAAUGCGAGUAUUACCCGAUUGAUAAAAGUCAAAAGAGAGAGAUCGAGAUGGAAUUGAUAAACGAGGAAUUGGGUGUGGACGAGGGUGAAGUUAAUUGUGGGAUUGGUGGUACAAAGGAGGGGUUGCUUGAUGAGGAGGAGGAUGAUGAUUGGGAAGGAGUAGAAGGAAGCGAGUUGGAGAGGCUUUUUGGUGCUGCUGUGGCGUAUGUUGGUUCUAUAGAUAAUGUUGAUAAUAUAUCGAGUCUUAGCACUGAUUUGAAGCUGAAGUUUUAUGGACUUUACCAGGUUGCAAUUGAAGGACCUUGCCAUGUGCCCCAACCCAUGCCAUUGAAGUUCUCUGCUCGCUCAAAGUGGAAUGCGUGGCAACAACUUGGGAACAUGAGCCCUGAGGUGGCUAUGGAGCAGUAUAUCAACCUCCUUUCAAGAAACUUUCCUGGAUGGAUGAAAGAUGAUUUUGGGGAAGAUGGUAAGCAGGGAUUUGCAGAUAAUGAAGCAACAAGGAACCUAGCUUCUGAUUUAAGGCCAUCUCAAGGACAUCAAAAAGGGGUUCUAGUUGAGAGGUAAUCUCUAAAUGAGUUAUCUAACAAUGACUUUAGUCUGUUGUUCAUUACAAAGUUUUACUUCACACCUAUAAUGUGGAAAAAUAGGAAAACGAAAAAAGGCUUGUGGCAUCUUAUCAUUGGCUCGGAUGAAGGUUUAAAUAACUAAGUGAUCGUGUUUGUGCCUAGUGCCAAAUGUUAUAAUCACCCAGGACCCUUGCAGCUUCCAACUGCUGAUGAGGAGACCAGUCAUAGCGUAAUAUUCUAUGCCAGUGAAGAAUUAACCAUGUGAAAUGUAUGAGUAAAUACAUUUCCUCCUCAUUCUUGACUCUUGUAAAUUAGUGGUUAAAGAGCAUAAGAUUUCUGGUUUAUAUUUUGUUUCCUUGGAAAAGGAAAGAAAAGGUCUCUUUGUAGAGCUGCCUGACUUAGUAAUUUUCAUUAAGUUGGGUUUGUAUUGAUGAAGCAUUAUUAUAUAUGUAAAUAUUACUUGUGGA